CUACGGACUUAAUUGGAUUGAGCCUUGGUAUGGAAACUUACUAAGUGAUAACUUUCAAAUUCAGAGAAACCCUGGAAUUAAUAAAAAUGGGCAAUCCUGAGCCAAAUCACGUUUUCCGAAAACAAACAAAGGUUCAGAAAGCGAAAAUAAAAAAGGAUAGGUGCUCUCCGGGCGGCUAACCUCUAGUGACUUUGUAUUAAAGCCGGCUGAAACAGAGGGCUUGCUUGUAUCCCAAAAAGAGGAAAGCAAGUCCUCAUGCCUGAAAG
rnacentral:sRNA from 1 species